UACAGAGGGGGCAAGCGUUGUUCGGAAUUACUGGGCGUAAAGGGCACGCAGGCGGUCAUGUAAGUCUGUUCUGACAGCUCCUGGCUCAACCGGGAGAGGCGAACGGAAACUGUAUGACUUGAGGACUUCAGAGGGACACGGAAUUCCGGGUGGAGUGGUGAAAUGCGUAGAGAUCCGGAGGAACACCAAAGGCGAAGGCAGUGUCCUGGGAAGUACCUGACGCUCAGGGUGCGAAAAGCC
rnacentral:rRNA from 1 species